CCUACGGGAGGCAGCAGUGAGGAAUAUUGGUCAAUGGGCGGAAGCCUGAACCAGCCAAGUAGCGUGAGGGAUGAAGGCCCUACGGGUCGUAAACCGCUUUUGCACGGGGAUAACACCCACCACGUGUGGAGGUCUGCAGGUACCGUGCGAAUAAGGGCCGGCUAAUUCCGUGCCAGCAGCCGCGGUAAUACGGACGGCCCGAGCGUUCUCCGGAUUCAUUGGGGGUAAAGGGAGCGUAGGCGGGCGUUCAAGUCAGCUGUAAAAUCGAGCGGCUCAACCGCGCCCCGCCGUUGAAACUGGCCUCCUUGAGUUCACGACAGGCAGGCGGACUUCGUGGUGUAGCGGUGAAAUGCUUAGAUAUCACG
rnacentral:rRNA from 1 species